UACGGAGGAUGCGAGCGUUAUCCGGAUUUAUUGGGUUUAAAGGGUGCGCAGGCGGCACGGCAAGCCGGCGGUCAAAUCGCGGGGCUCAACCCCGCCCAGCCGUCGGAACUGCCGGGCUAGAGUGGGCGAGAAGUGCGCGGAAUGCGUGGUGUAGCGGUGAAAUGCAUAGAUAUCACGCAGAACUCCGAUUGCGAAGGCAGCGCACCGGCGCCCUACUGACGCUCAGGCGCGAAAGCGUGGGUAUCGAACAGG
rnacentral:rRNA from 1 species